rnacentral:tRNA from 1 species
GCCGCGGUAGCUCAGCCUGUCCUCGGGGGUUAUGGAGAGCAUCCGGCUGAAGACCGGAGUGUCGUCGGCUCAAAUCCGACCCGCGGCA